GUACAGGCCGCAAGGUGCUGACGAGUGGCGAACGGGUGAGUAAUGCAUCGGAACGUGCCCGGUCGUGGGGGAUAACACUUCGAAAGAAGUGCUAAUACCGCAUACGAUCUGAGGAUGAAAGCGGGGGACCGUAAGGCCUCGCGCGAUCGGAGCGGCCGAUGUCAGAUUAGGUAGUUGGUGGGGUAAAGGCUCACCAAGCCAACGAUCUGUAGCUGGUCUGAGAGGACGACCAGCCACACUGGGACUGAGACACGGCCCAGACUCCUACGGGAGGCAGCAGUGGGGAAUUUUGGACAAUGGGCGCAAGCCUGAUCCAGCAAUGCCGCGUGCAGGAAGAAGGCCUUCGGGUUGUAAACUGCUUUUGUACGGAACGAAACGGUCCGGGUUAAUACCCUGGGCUAAUGACGGUACCGUAAGAAUAAGCACCGGCUAACUACGUGCCAGCAGCCGCGGUAAUACGUAGGGUGCAAGCGUUAAUCGGAAUUACUGGGCGUAAAGCGUGCGCAGGCGGUUUUGUAAGACAGGCGUGAAAUCCCCGGGCUCAACCUGGGAAUUGCGCUUGUGACUGCAAGGCUGGAGUGCGGCAGAGGGGGAUGGAAUUCCGCGUGUAGCAGUGAAAUGCGUAGAUAUGCGGAGGAACACCGAUGGCGAAAGCAAUCCCCUGGGCCUGCACUGACGCUCAUGCACGAAAGCGUGGGGAGCAAAC
rnacentral:rRNA from 1 species